rnacentral:rRNA from 1 species
UACGAAGGGGGCUAGCGUUGCUCGGAAUCACUGGGCGUAAAGGGUGCGUAGGCGGGUCUUUAAGUCAGGGGUGAAAUCCUGGAGCUCAACUCCAGAACUGCCUUUGAUACUGAGGAUCUUGAGUUCGGGAGAGGUGAGUGGUAACUGCGAGUGUAGAGGUGAAAUUCGUAGAUAUUCGCAAGAACACCAGUGGCGAAGGCGGCUCACUGGCCCGAUACUGACGCCUGAGGCACGAAAGCGUGGGGAGCAAACAGGG